CUAAAAGCGUUGAUGAAGAGAAACUUAUCUCAGAUUAUUUACAGAGAGUUGGGUACGGUGGAAACCAACAAUAACAGGAUAAGAUAUAUUCACUUCUAAGCUGGUUUGCUGAACGGAAAUUCAAGUAGGUGAACCCGAAUGCCCAUCGUUAUCAGGGAUAGGACUGUUAGGUCUGAUUGAGUGAUGACUUCGUCAUAAUUAGGGUGGUACCGCGCGGAAUAAUAUCCUUCGUCCCUAUA
rnacentral:ncRNA from 1 species